GGAGUUGUGGCUCAGCGGUAGAGUACUCACCUAGCACGUGUGAGGCCCUGGGUUUGAUCCUCAGCACCACCU
rnacentral:tRNA from 1 species